UCAGCAGUCAAGAAUAUUAGUCAAUGCUCGAAAGAGUGAACUAGCUACUGAAUCAAUAAAAAAUUGAUAACAUAAGGGAAAAUAAUGAUAUUACCUUAUUAUUAGUGUCGUCCAAAACUGGUGCCAGAAGACUCGGUAAGGCCAGAGACAUAAACGUUAAUCGUCUUAAUCAGGCGUAAAGGGUUUGUAGGCGGCUUUUAAUUAAUUUAUAAAAUAUUAUCAUAAGUUAAGAAUAAAAGCUAGAAUCAAAUAGAGGUUAUGUUAAAGAAUGCUUAGAGUAAGUCUGAUAUCUUGAAAUACUAAGUAGAAUAUUAAUGGCGAAAGCUUUUUUCCAAUAAUGAUUGACGCUCAGAAACGAAGGUGAGGAUAGGAAAUAGGAUUAGAUACCCAGAUACCCCUCUCUGUCAACGAUGAAUGGUAAUUAUUAGUAAUAUAUUUAUUAAUGAUAAUGUUAACACGAUAACCAUUCCGCCUUGUGAGUACAACUGCAAAGUUGAAAACAAAAAAAUUAGUCGGUUUCGGAGCAAACGAAGUGAAGCAUGUUAUUUAAUUCGAUAAUCCGCAUAAAGAUAU
rnacentral:rRNA from 1 species